AGUAAAAAAAAAAAUGGGUUUCCGUCUCCAACGUUUGACCGUCCAUCUUAUUUAAAAAAUUUAUAAAAAAAUUAAAAAGAUAAAUCACGCAUAAAGUAUUAAUCAUAUUUUAUCAUCUAACAACAAUAAAAAUACUAAUUAUAAAAAAAAUUAUAUAAGACGGAUAAUCAAACGUUGGAUAUAGAAAACUAGUUUUGUCUUUUUU
rfam:Oryza glumipatula chromosome 9, whole genome shotgun sequence.